rnacentral:rRNA from 1 species
UACGUAGGUGGCAAGCGUUGUCCGGAUUUACUGGGCGUAAAGAGCGCGCAGGCGGUUGAUUAAGUCGAAUGUGAAAGCCCCCGGCUCAACUGGGGAGGGUCAUUCGAUACUGAUCGACUUGAAGGCAGGAGAGAGAAGUGGAAUUCCCGGUGUAGUGGUGAAAUGCGUAGAUAUCGGGAGGAACACCAGUGGCGAAGGCGGCACUCUGGGCCGAUACUGACACUGAGGAGCGAAAGCGUGGGGAGCGAACAGG